UCUUUCGGUAAAGACAGUUAGGCAGAAAAAAAUCGUCAGAUCUUUAGUAAAGGGGUAAAAUCUAAAUACUAAAAGUUAUUUCUAACACGAUUUAUUUUAAAGGCUGAAUCUGUGACAACUUUAAGGGAAACUGGGAUUGGAUACCCCAUUAUUUUUAGUAAUAAAUUUGAUUUAAAUAUACCAGAGUACUACGAAUAAAAAGUUUAAAACUCAAAGAGCUUGGCGGUGUUUUAGACCCCUCAGGGGAACCUGUCUCAUAAUCGACAAUCCACGCUAGACCCGACCCUCUAUAGCAAUUCAGCCUGUAUACCGUCGUCGUCAGGUAACUUCUUAAAAUAUAGCAGUUAGCUUGAGAAUUUUAUUAAUUAAUACGUCAGAUCAAGGUGCAGCUUAUAAGAGGGAGAGGAUGGGUUACAAUUAUAAAUUUAUAAUUACGGAAGACGCUCAAAACAGGGCAUCCAAAGGAGGACUUGAAAGUAAUUCUAAUUAUGUAAAUAGAAUGAAUAAGGCUCUGAAACGUG
rnacentral:rRNA from 1 species